CAACAACAUGCAUGAUGUUAAGAAAAUCAAAUCACUGAUACUUGAUCAUUUGAUAAUAAAAGACGUUAUUAAAGCAUGUAGUUCAGAUUUCUUUUUUUUAGUCCAUUAAUUCGAAUGACGAAUAUAGAGUAUUACUCAUCCAUUCACGUGGCUAAUCUAUGAGGCUAAUCUAUGAUCUUGCAACAAUAUUUUAUCUACGAUUAUUUAAGUUGUGCAUUAUUUGGAUGAAUUUCAUAAGUCACGCCUAAAAAUGAGUCAUGCCUACUCCAUGUUAAACUUUUUGAAUUAGGAAUAAUCUUU
rnacentral:lncRNA from 1 species